rnacentral:sRNA from 1 species
ACAACACUUAAUAUUUUGUUGGUGUUGAAAAUUGUUAAAGAAAAGUAAUAUAUGCAUUUUUGUGGAAAAAUAAAUUGUAACACCUAAAUCGGGGUGUUACACUAUUGGGUAUCAGAGCAAUGGUUUUCGAAAAUCCAUAUCUCUUUUGUAAGUAAUCUUUUGUUAAAUAGUCUUUGUUUAAAUAAAUAAUUUUCGAGGACGAAAAUAAUUGUUGUUGGGGAGAUUGUAAGAUCCUUGAAAAUAUUUGUAAGUUAGAUACUAGAUAAAAAAAAAUUAAAAAAAAAAUAGUAAAUAGUAAAUUAUGAAUAGUAAAUUGUGAAUAGUAAAAAGUGAAUAGUAAAAAGAAAAAAAAAUUAUUUUUGGAAAGGAUAAGUAUUACACGUAGCUUUGAGAUCAGAAUUCACCAAUUUGCAAAUAAAAAAUUAUUUUUGUAAUAGUAAAAUGAAUAAAAAAAUGAAUAGUACAAAUGAAUAGUAAAAAUGAAUAGUAAAUUUUUUUACUAUAAAUAGCCAAGGGGGAGGCUGAAAAUUUACACCAAAGAACUUAGAAAAAUGUUGAGAGAAGAGAGUUGGAAGAAUUUCUAAUUGCAAAGGGGAUAUUCUGGAAGUUUUCAGAGAGCGAGGAGAUUAAGUCUGUAAUAGAGAUAAUGUUGCAGAUGCGGUUGAAAAAGCUUAGAGAUGAGAGAGAUGCGGGGAAAAACUUUCAGGGAUUUUUGUAAAAAUAAUAAAUUUGUAUUGGGAAGAUUAUGUUGUGUAAAACUUAUAAGUUGAAAUUUCAAUGGUGAAGACUAUAUUGUUUAAAGUUUGAAAGUUUGGUAUUGUACUUUGGAGUAAUUGAAAUAAAGUUUGAUUGUUUAUAUGAGAUAUCAAAUUAAUUUAGUCUCUACUAUCAGUAAUACCCUUUAAAAUAUUAGGGUGUUACAUUUU